CUUAUCCUUUCUAACUGUCAGCAUUAUGUCUUCUAUUUUGGUUUGUUCUCUUAUCCAUGUGUUUAUCAUGUAGCCUAUCCUGGCGAAUCCUAAUAUGUAUCUUUUCAUCCUUCUUUGGGUUGUUGCUAUUCUUAGAUGCUGUGCAGUAAUUCAAUAUACCUGUGGUCGAUUCCUUGGUUACUUAAUGCGGUUAGUAUUGCUCCUGUAGACACUGUGUCCAAUCCUUUCUGUUAAUCUAUAAAUGAAUAUAUAUUAAUAUAUCGUUAAAUUCUUACUUAAAAACAUUUCCAAUGGUACUCUUCUUCUACAAAAAAUUGCGUGAGCUAAAAAUGACGGAAAUCCAUUCAUUAUGAUUGGACACAGUGAAACAAUCGGUUAUAAUUAAGUAAUAAUAAACAGUUUAUAUUUUAAAACUUUUCAUGAAGCAAAUAAAAAGACAUGGUUUUAUUUAAUGCCUCAAAAAUGGCAUCUAGAUCGUUUUUGAAUGCUAUUCUCAAACAAUCUUGAUAUUUAAGCUACAAUGAAUAUUAACACGGGUAAAUUUGGACUGUGUUAAUAAUUCUUCUUAAAAUACACUCACAAGUCAGUGAAUGCUUACCUAAAAUCAUUUCUGUCCCUUGCCAUGUAAAAUAUGCAUUUCCUUUAUUAAUAUUUCAAACUCGCAACAACACUUUGCAGGUAUAGGUGCAUGUUAAUAUCUGUUUAACACAGUUUAACUGUUUUACCUGUAAACUUCAUUACGAAAGUACCAAAUAUGAAAAAAGACGAACAUGAGGAGCAAUACACAAAUAUCCCAUUUUUGAUUGUACUACUCAGGUCCCAUCAGCAAACAUUAUUUUUCAAUUUUAUCUCUUCCAUAUCUACAGUGAUUAAUAAAAAUGAAAUUAUGUUUGUAUAGAUUUCAAAAAAUGUCUAUUGAAUUUGUAAUCGACUUUCCAUUUAUAUCUAUUUAUAAAUCAAUAUUUUCCUUUUUCAUUAUGAUUCAUACAGUCACGAUAUUUUUAUUUCUAAAUAUUAUUAUAAUCAGGGCCGGAUUUAGCCGUGGUCUUUAUGGACUAGAGCCCGGGGUGUCGUUCAAUCAAAGGGCCCCCUCCUCACGUUUAAAAAAUAAAAAUAAAACCGUGUGGCAACGUCGAAAUGGGGGUGUUGGAGCACAUUAAAAAACAACUGUGAAGCGCCACCUAAACAAAUAUUUUUGUGUGAAGAAACUCUCGCGAGAAAGAGUUCGAGAAUAAAGGGGUAACUAGGACG
rnacentral:lncRNA from 1 species